rnacentral:rRNA from 1 species
AGUGAACGCUGGCGGUAGGCCUAACACAUGCAAGUCGAACGGCAGCACAGUAAGAGCUUGCUCUUACGGGUGGCGAGUGGCGGACGGGUGAGGAAUACAUCGGAAUCUACUUUUUCGUGGGGGAUAACGUAGGGAAACUUACGCUAAUACCGCAUACGACCUACGGGUGAAAGCAUGGGAUCUUCGGACCUUGCGCGAUUGAAUGAGCCGAUGUCGGAUUAGCUAGUUGGCGGGGUAAAGGCCCACCAAGGCGACGAUCCGUAGCUGGUCUGAGAGGAUGAUCAGCCACACUGGAACUGAGACACGGUCCAGACUCCUACGGGAGGCAGCAGUGGGGAAUAUUGGACAAUGGGCGCAAGCCUGAUCCAGCCAUACCGCGUGGGUGAAGGAGGCCUUCGGGUUGUAAAGCCCUUUUGUUGGGAAAGAAAAGCAGCAGGUUAAUACCCCGCUGUUCUGACGGUACCCAAAGAAUAAGCACCGGCUAACUUCGU